CCUACGGGAGGCAGCAGUGGGGAAUAUUGCACAAUGGGGGAAACCCUGAUGCAGCGACGCCGCGUGAGUGAAGAAGUAUUUCGGUAUGGAAAGCUCUAUCAGCAGGGAAGAAGCAAGACGGUACCUGACUAAGAAGCCCCGGCUAACUACGUGCCAGCAGCCGCGGUAAUACGUAGGGGGGAAGCGUUAUCCGGAUUUACUGGGUGUAAAGGGAGCGUAGACGGGAUGGCAAGUCUGAAGGGAAAGCCCAGGGCUUAACCCUUGGACUGCUUUGGAAACUGUUAGACUAGAGUGCUGGAGAGGUAAGUGGAUUUCCUAGUGUAGCGGUGAAAUGCGUAGAUAUUAGGAGGAACACCAGUGGCGAAGGCGGCUUACUGGACAGUAACUGACGUUGAGGCUCGAAAGCGUGGGGAGCAAACAGGAUUAGAUACCCGAGUAGUC
rnacentral:rRNA from 1 species